UUCGCCGUGUCGACGAUCCGACGGUACGUUCGUGCUUUUUAAAUUAGGUUGCUUUGCUGGUCUCGUGUCAAUAAUCCAAAGACAAUGUCUUUCUCGUAUUUAUUAGUUUAUAUUUUAAAAUGCUGUCGUUAAAGAAAAUUGUUAUAAUACUUCCUGCUUUGCUUAUAUAAGGAGAGGAUAUACAGUCCAUCGAGAUGCAGAUCAAACUCCAUGAGAUAGGGAAAAACGAGAAGGAGAAAGAUUGGUCGUCCAUUGUAUGGCGGCUUGACCACCGUACAUCUGGCUCGACGGUUGGACUCACUCUAAACCAUGGUACCGUAAAAGUAAUCUCAGGCUAAAACCAUAUGGAGAAGGAGAAGAUCUUUUAGGCAUGAGUAGGAUUUUCGAGAUAAAGGUGGAAUAUUCAUAUAUUUAGUUCAUGGUCGGAUUAUAAUAUAAUUAAAUCGGAUUAAAGUUUUGGUCAGUGGAUUGCUCUGAAGUCUCAACUAAGUGGGGGCUCGUAUUCCAAUCUUGUAUCAAUGUGUACUUGGGGUCAGUAGUAUAAAGCAUAAGCAUCAAAGUAUUAGAAUAUUCUCCAUCUAUGUUUUGUUCAUCCCGCAUUAGUAACGCGGAGUUGCUUCUCUAAAUGUGUGUCAAACGGCAAGUCAUUUUUUCUGGCUAUCAUGUAAUGCAGUUGUAUCGAUUGCGUUUUUAUGUUUAUCAUCUCUGGUUAAUGAUUAUUUUCUAA